rnacentral:lncRNA from 12 species
GGGCGUGAUCCUGGAGUCCUGGGAUCAAGUCCCAUAUCAUGCACCCUGCAUGGAGCCUGCUUCUCUCUCUGCCUGUCUCUGCCUCUCUCUGUGUGUGUGUGUGUGUCUCAUGAAUGAAUGAAUAAAAUCUUAAAAAAAAAAAAAAGAACCACUGAAAUAUAAAUGUCAUAAAACCACUAGAUACUAUAGGUGGACAAAUGAGUACUAUUAGAUUCUAGAUUCAGGUGAAAUUUCUUCUCAAAUUCUUCCUCCACCCUAGGUGGUAAAACAUUGGUCCCUCUGCAAGGAUGGAGAUCAAAAGACAUUCCACAGCAUUUCUGUUCUCAGGACCAUAGAGGUUGAGAAAGGAAUCACAGAUGGAAAAGUUCAAAUAGGAGAUUAAUAUCUAGAGGAGAGCUAGUGGUUGUGUUUGGAAACCUAGACAUCAAGAGCUCACUGAAGGGGGCUGAUUGCUGAAAGAAAGGAAGCACUGGGAAUCCCAAUUCUUGAAUUUGUCCACAAGAAUAUGGUAUACCCUUUGGAAGCUGAGAACCUAUCUACUUACAGUCUGGGAUGCACGCCUUACAGCUCGGAUUGUAGGAUAUAAUUGUGACAGCUGCUCAACAACACAGGGGAAGGAUGUCCAGAGGAGAUUGUGGGUGAGUGCUAGGCCAAACUGCUCAACUUCUUAUUAAUCUCCUUUUAUAGACUUGAGAGCUAACCACAAGCAGUUGCAUGCUUUGAUAAAAGUGGAUCAUAGAAAUGGAAAUAAAUGCCAUAUCUGGCACA